rnacentral:tRNA from 1 species
AAGAGGUGGUGCAAAUUUGGGGGACAGGCUCAGUGUCCUGUUUUUA